rnacentral:misc_RNA from 1 species
AUCGAUGGUAUCGGAGCUCUCGACCUCGAGAGUUAUGGUCUUACCGGUGAGGGUUUUGACGAAGAUCUGCAUAUCGGAGAUUUACGAAGCAAAAGAACAGGCUUUUUCUGAUAGCUGUCGAGAAAAAGAGGACUUUGAACGAUGAAAUGGGAAUGGAAGAAGCGAGUUUAUAUAGAGAAGCGUAUGCAAGCGAAUGGAAAGGAGUGGAAGGAAUAGAAUCCUUCGUAGCAAAGGAAAGAAAGGAGCCGUCAACUUUGAUCGGUGGAAUGCUGGGUUGCGUUAGUUGAGGGUUAAGG